GAUGAAGAACGUAGCGAAAUGCGAUAAGUAAUGUGAAUUGCAGAAUUCAGUGAAUCAUCGAAUCUUUGAACGCACAUUGCGCCCCUUGGUAUUCCGGGGGGCAUGCCUGUUCGAGCGUCAUUUCAACCCUCAAGCUCUGCUUGGUAUUGGGCACCGUCCUUUGCGGGCGCGCCUCAAAGACCUCGGCGGUGGCGUCUUGCCUCAAGCGUAGUAGAAUACACCUCGCUUCGGAGCGUAAGGCGUCGCCCGCCGGACGAACCUUCUGAACUUUUCUCAAGGUGGACCUCGGAUCAGGUAGGGAUACCCGCUGAACUUAAGCAUAUCAAUAAGCGGAGGA
rnacentral:misc_RNA from 1 species